GGAGCCGCGAUCAUACGUUUAAGUCUCUUAUUUGCCCUUAAGCCGUGCCGCGGUCCCGCUUCGCGGGGGGAGGGGGAGGUGAGGAGCCCAGCUGGCUCUCCCUGCCCCUGUCUCUCUCCCGCGGGUGAAAUUAGGCAUUUGGCCUGGCGGGGGCGGGGGGUCCCACAGAAGGUGACUCCAGGAAGCGUUAAUCCACCUGCUACCCCCAGCGCGGUCCCGGCGUUACCGGGCAGGAGGGGGUCGCGCCUCUACCGCCCCCUUCCCUUCCCCACCGCGGGUCCGCGGGCGAUGCUCACCUUGAGGCACUUGGCCUUGUUGAACCUCAUCCUGUUGGAAUCAGACCAUCUCUCCAGCUUGUCCAGGUCCCUCUGAAGAGCCUUCCUGCCUUCCAGAAGAUCAACACUCCCCCCCAACUUGGUGUCAUCUGCAAAUUUGCUAAUGGGACACUCAAUCCCCUCAUCCAGACUACCAAUAAAGAUAUUAAACAGAACUGUGCCCAACACUGAUCCCCAGGGGACACAAUAGUGACCGGCCACCAACUGGAUGCAGCACCAUUCACCACCACUCUCUGGGCUCUGCCCUCUAGCCAGUUCUUAAUCCAGCACAGAGUGCCCCUGUCCAAGCCGUGGGCUGCCAGCUUUCCCCGGAGUAUGCUGUGAGAGACGGUGUCAAGGGCUCUGCUGAAGUCCAGAUAGGCCACAUCCACAGCCUUCCCCUCAUCCAUCAGGCGGGUCACCUGGUCAUAAAAGGAGAUCAGGUCGGUCAGACAGGACCUGCCCUUCCUAAACCCAUGCUGGCUGGGUCUGAUCCCUUGUCCAUCCUGUAGGUGUCAUGUGAUUGCACUUAGGAUGAUCUGCUCCAUCACCUUGCCAGGCACUGAGGUCAGGCUGAUGGGCCUGUAGUUUCCCAGGUCCUCCUUGCAGCCCUUUUUGUGGAUCGGUGUGACAUUCGCCAACUUCCAAUCAUCUGGGACCUCCCCUGUAAGCCAGGACUGUUGGUAGAUGAUGGAGAGGGGCUUGGCGAGCUCUUCUGCCAGCUCCCUCAUCACCCUAGGAUGGAUCCCAUCUGGUCCCAUAGACUUGUGAGGAUCCAAGUGGCUCAGCAGGUCGCAAACUGUUUCCUCCUGGAUUACAGGGGGGCUAUUUGGAUUCCUGUCUCUGUCUACCAGCUCCGGAGGCCAGUUGUCCUGAGGACAGUGUGUCUUACUGUUGGAAACUGAGGUAAAGAAGGUGUUAAAUACCUCAGCCUUUUCCUCAUCUUUGAGAACUAUGUUCCCGCCCAUGCCCAAUAAACAAUGGAGGUUUUCCUUGUCCCUCCCUUUGCUACUGAUGUAUCUGUAGAAAGACUUUUUGUUAUACUUAACAGAAGUGACUAGAUUGAGUUCAAAUUGUGCCUUUGUCUCUCUAGUUUUCUUUCUACAUGACCUAACUAUGUUCUUAAACUCUUCAUGAGUAGCCAGCCCUUUUUUCCAUAGUCAGUAAAUUCUCUUUUUUCCCCUAAUUUCCUUCACAAUCUCCCUGUUCAGCCAGGCUGGCUGUCUUCCCCACCGGCUCGCUUUUCGGCACACUGGGACAGCCUGCUCCUGUGCAUUCAAGACUUGCUUCUCGAAGCAUGUACAUCCCUCCUGGACCCCUUUGUUUUCAAGGGCUGUUUCCCAAGGUACCCUCUGAACCAGUCUUCUGAGUAGGCCGAAAUCUGCCCUGCGGAAGUCCAGGGUAGAAGUUUUAUUGCUGGCCUUCUUUGCGUCCCUGAGUAUGAGAAUCAUUGAGAAUCAAAGGCUGGCUCUAAUCACAGGCACCAAGACAGGAACAGCUCAUUUUGGGUCUUUCUUCAUAGGCAGUGGGGAGCUGGCACAGAAAGAUAGCAUUAAUUUAUCAGGUAUUCAAUGAAGAAAAAGAAAGAUGGGUCGCAUAAUUGUUAUUUACUGAAGACGGAUGCUUUUCACAGUUCCUGAUUAUUGAAAUUGAUAUGUAUUACUGGAUAUAUUGUUUGUAAAAUAUAGUUUGAUAAAAUAUCAACACCAGAAAUGCUUCACGGAAUUAUGAAACAUCUUAAAAGCUGAAGAGACAGACUAAUAAAAUGACUGUUUGUUGGCAGUGUGAUUAGUUUGGAUAUUCUGCAAGGGAAGUGUCACCUUACACUGAGCAAAACAUCAGUUGGAAUAUUAUAAAUGAUCUAUUUCUAAUAGUACAGUUGGCUGAAGAAAGCUGCAGAAAAUAUCAUAUUCUGCACACACACACAUAGCUCUGAUAACUAACCAAUAUCCCAAUAUAGCGAACAUUCAGUAGGAUUAACUUCCUAGAUAUAUCUGUGCCAAAUUUAGCAAUUAGAGUCAGUAUUUUUCCACAGUGUUUCAUUCCCACUGUAUUAUUUCCUCCUACCCUUAGCACCUCUUCAACUACUUCUUUUCUGAUCGUGACUAAGCAGGCUGUUCCCAGCAGAAACUAAAUCCCAAAUUUUUUUCAUUCCCACUUCAAUUCCUCCUAAGAUGCCAUGAGCAGACAUGCCACAUUCUUUAUUUUAUCUCUUUAUAGUCAUUUCAAUUAAUCUACCUCCAAUUGAUCCUAAACCUUUAGGACCUCUGACUUAAGUGCCAGUUCCCUUCAAAGCUGUUUUUGAUUUAAGUCUGGUUUUUGAGACAGCUGCUCCCUAGUUUUCUUCUUGCCUCUGAAAAUCUCGAACAAUUGCUUCUUACAAAUACUCUGACUGUGAUGGUUUAGGAGUUGCUUUGUCCUCAAUGCAUCUGCUGUUCUAUUAGGGUUCAGGAAAGCUGAUUAUUGAAGUCUGCUUCACAAUUCCUAUGUUUCCACACGGAAUUUCCUCUCCAACUCUCCCAUCCCCAUAGGGCACAUCAUUGCAUCCCCAUAUGACAAUCAAGCUCUUGAUUAUGCAGCACCUUUGAGGCAAGUGCAUAGUUACUUCCUGCAGUUUGGACUCAUCCGAGAAGGCUCCACAAUAAGUUGAGAAAUCAAUGAUUUUUAAGGAACAUGCAAACUCUCACUCAUCAGUGCUUAAGUACCAAAAAAUAAAGGCCCAGAAGAAGAAGAAUCAAUGAGCAGGAAUGCCAUAUCCUGACAUAAAGAGAAGUAUAAGCAAGUAAGAUUGAUUUUCAUACAUCAGAGGGAUGUUUGGAAAACAGACCACUGAUUGUAGGGAAAGACCUACAAUCUCAGCACAACCUAAGUCAUCAAAAACACUACUAGUGGUAUAUUCAGGGUUCUAUGCUCUUUCAGUAAAUAAGGCAUCAACUUUAAUUUUUGAAUUUAAAUAAAUAUGCUAGCACUUUCUAUUCAGAAGUUGAAGAGGAAGCUUUGCUUACUUCCUUAACUUAUCUUGUAGUGUAUUACAGUUUCUUUCUCAUCAGAAGCAGAACGGAUAGUGUUGUUGCCAUGCACUUGUAAUAAGAGAUUCAACAAUAAAGAUUUUAACUAAAACAGGGAAUUAGUAUUCACUGAAAAAUAUUUUCGGAUCAGCGGACACCUGUAGCAUAUGUAAAAGGUGUCCUUAGCACUGAAUUAGUAGUAUUUCAAAAAAUUCUCAAAAAUUUGACAUCUAUUGUAUCUUUACAGCACUUGGGUACUUUUCUUUUUUGAAGCUAGAUUGAAGCAGUUCUUUAUAUUUAUUACAUUUAUUACCAGAAAUGCUGGUGUUUUAGAAAGAAUAAGAUACCAUAUGAUAACUAAUUGAUUUAGUGCAUUUCAGGUUGCAGAGUCGAGCUCAGAAUUGUGUUGAAGUGUCUUGCCAAGGCAGGCAAAAUAAGGAGGAAGAAAAGUUUUCUAGUAACCUUAACUUGUAAGAGAGCUUGGAGUCUGUUCUCCAGCUUCUGAAGGACGAAAUACCUCUUUGUCAAUUUCUUGCCUGGCAGUGGAAUUAAAGCUCUAAUAGUCUUUAUUUAAAAUUGUGAGAGGACAGCACAGUGCUAGCACUGACUAGACUUGUGAUGUUAAAUGUAUAUGCCUUACCUGUGCAAUAACUAGUCCAAUAUUCACACAAAGAUCUUUUUACAUUAAAAACAAGAUAAACCAAACUCUCA